rnacentral:rRNA from 2 species
UACGAAGGGGGCUAGCGUUGCUCGGAAUUACUGGGCGUAAAGCGCACGUAGGCGGAUCCUUAAGUCGGUGGUGAAAUCCUGAAGCUCAACUUCAGAACUGCCUUCGAUACUGGGGACCUUGAGUUCGGGAGAGGUGAGUGGAACUGCGAGUGUAGAGGUGAAAUUCGUAGAUAUUCGCAAGAACACCAGUGGCGAAGGCGGCUCACUGGCCCGAUACUGACGCUGAGGUGCGAAAGCGUGGGGAGCAAACAGG